UGGCUCUGGAUCUUGUAGAAAAUGUAUGUAUUUGAAUAUUGUAUGAUCAUAGAUGCUAAUAAUCUAUGAUGAACUGUUUGUUAGAAAAAAAAAAGGUUUUCUCUGCUUCUUUGUGUUGGCCUUGACAUCGUUUUACCGAUUCCUAAGAGAACAUUCCCUGUUGGGUUGCCUCAUUUUAAAGGGUUGAGAUUGAUCAUCCCCAAGCCAAAAAGAUAAAAAGGAAGAAACAACCUUGUUGGACAGUGUUUAUAGUAAGGGCUUUAAUUGAAAUACAAGCCCAUGUCUUAUAUUAAUACCAAAAGAAAUUUGAAAGCGAAACCUAUAUGUCGUGUAUAUCUUUUUGUGAAGCAUCUGUUUUUUUGGCUUUCUUUAUCUAUUAUAAAGUGAUGAUUGCUACCUAUAAAACAUGGUAAUGUUUUAUCCCCCUAAAGCUGCUAUAGAUUUUGAAGACGUGUGAAAAGUUUGGUUUGUUGUUCAUGAAGUGAAGAAAGAUGUGUUUUCUUUUAGCUUGUCUGAUUUGUGCAGAGUUGCUUUCUGUAUUAACAGCUCUACUGUCGAUAGUUUAUGGUUGAAUGUAUGCUAAAGGAACAUCAGAUUUUAUGUUUCUUCCCUUUUUUAUGAUUAUCAUUUAAUUGCACUACUUGUCUGCAAAUUGGCCACUGCAAUUUUUUCAAUAUCCUUCUGGAAGUAUGGAG
rnacentral:misc_RNA from 1 species